rnacentral:rRNA from 1 species
GACGAACGCUGGCGGCGUGCCUAAUACAUGCAAGUCGAACGCUUUUUCUUUCACCGGAGCUUGCUCCACCGAAAGAAAAAGAGUGGCGAACGGGUGAGUAACACGUGGGUAACCUGCCCAUCAGAAGGGGAUAACACUUGGAAACAGGUGCUAAUACCGUAUAACACUAUUUUCCGCAUGGAAGAAAGUUGAAAGGCGCUUUUGCGUCACUGAUGGAUGGACCCGCGGUGCAUUAGCUAGUUGGUGAGGUAACGGCUCACCAAGGCAACGAUGCAUAGCCGACCGGAGAGGGGGAUCGGCCACGCUGGGACUGAGACACGGCCCAGACUCCUACGGGAGGCAGCAGUAGGGAAUCUUCGGCAAUGGACGAAAGUCUGACCGAGCAACGCCGCGUGAGUGAAGAAGGUUUUCGGAUCGUAAAACUCUGUUGUUAGAGAAGAACAAGGAUGAGAGUAGAACGUUCAUCCCUUGACGGUAUCUAACCAGAAAGCCACGGCUAACUACGUGCCAGCAGCCGCCGUAA